rnacentral:rRNA from 1 species
AGUUGGUGAGGUAAAAGCUCACCAAGGCAGCGAUCAGUAGCUGGUCUGAGAGGACGAUCAGCCACACUGGGACUGAGACACGGCCCAGACUCCUACGGGAGGCAGCAGUGGGGAAUUUUCCGCAAUGGGCGAAAGCCUGACGGAGCAAGACCGCGUGAGGGAGGAAGGCUCUUGGGUAGUACACCUCUUUUCUCAGGGAAUAAGCUCUGACGGUACCUGAGGAAUCAGCCUCGGAUAACUCCGUGCCAGCAGCCGCGGAAAUACGGAGGAGGCAAGCGUUAUCCGGAAUUAUUGGGCGUAAAGCGUCCGCAGGUGGCGAUUCAAGUCUGCUGUCAAAGCACGGGGCUUAACUCCGUUAAUAGCAGUUGGAAACUGAAUAGCUAGAGUGCCGUAGGGGUAGAGGGAAUUCCCGGUGUAGCGGUGAAAUGCGUAGAGAUCGGGAAGAACAUCGGUGGCUAAAGCGCUCUACUGGACGGUAACUGACACUCAGGGACGAAAGCUAGGGGAGCGAAUGGGAUUAGAUACCCCCAGUAGUCCUAGCUGUAAACGAUGGAUACUA